rnacentral:rRNA from 1 species
UUGGAGGGCAAGUCUGGUGCCAGCAGCCGCGGUAAUUCCAGCUCCAAUAGCGUAUAUUAAAGUUGUUGCAGUUAAAAAGCUCGUAGUUGAAUUUCGAGAUCAAAUUGUUGGUCGUGCCUUGGUACGCACUGGCAUUAUUGGUUUCUCCCUUCUGACGAACCAUGAUGUCAUUAAUUUGGUGUCUUGGGGAAUCAGGACUGUUACUUUGAAAAAAUUAGAGUGUUUAAAGCAGGCUCACGCUUGAAUACAUUAGCAUGGAAUAAUGAAAUAGGACGUUUGAUUCUAUUUUGUUGGUUUCUAGGAUCGACGUAAUGAUUAAUAGGGAUAGUUGGGGGCAUUAGUAUUCAAUUGUCAGAGGUGAAAUUCUUGGAUUUAUUGAAGACUAACUACUGCGAAAGCAUUUGCCAAGGAUGUUUUCAUUAAUCAAGAACGAAAGUUAGGGGAUCGAAGACGAUCAGAUACCGUCGUAGUCUUAACCAUAAACUAUGCCGACUAGGGAUCGGAUGAUGUUAAUUUUUUAAUGACUCAUUCGGCGCCUUACGGGAAACCAAAGUGUUUGGGUUC